rnacentral:rRNA from 1 species
AUUGAACGCUGGCGGCAGGCCUAACACAUGCAAGUCGAGCGAGCGGCGGACGGGUGAGUAAUGUAUGGGGACUGCCCGAUAGAGGGGGAUAAAUACUGGAAACGGUAGCUAAUACCGCAUACUCUCGGAUAAACCAUAUUGGAGUAGCUAGUGGGGGAGGUAAUGGUGCACCUAGGCGACAAUCCCUAGCUGGUCUGAGAGGAGGAUCAGCAAAACUGGGACUGAGACAAGGCCCAGACUCCUACGGAGGCAGCAGUGGGGAAUAUUGCACAAUGGGCGCAAGUCUGAUGCAGCCAUGCCGCGUGUAUGAAGAAGGCCCUAGGGUUGUAAAGUACUUUCAGUCGGGAGGCGUUACCGACAGAAGAAGCACCGGCUAACUCCGUGCCAGCAGCCGCGGUAAUUC